rnacentral:rRNA from 1 species
UACGUAGGGUGCGAGCGUUGUCCGGAUUUAUUGGGCGUAAAGAGCUCGUAGGUGGUUUGUCGCGUUGUUCGUGAAAUCUCACGGCUUAACUGUGAGCGUGCGGGCGAUACGGGCAGACUAGAGUACUGCAGGGGAGACUGGAAUUCCUGGUGUAGCGGUGGAAUGCGCAGAUAUCAGGAGGAACACCGGUGGCGAAGGCGGGUCUCUGGGCAGUAACUGACGCUGAGGAGCGAAAGCGUGGGGAGCGAACAGG